rnacentral:tRNA from 1 species
AUCUUUCUAGUACUAAAGCUAGUACAUGUGACCUCCAAUCACUUAGUCUUGGUUAAAGCCCAAGGAAAGAUA